rnacentral:lncRNA from 1 species
CAUUGUUUAGCCAUUUGUCCCUAAUGAUUUUUUUGUAGAUAAAAUCAUGAGUUUUAGUUUACCAAAAAAAUAUAUAAAGUUCGAUGUGAUGGAAAAUGAUCGCUAAAAGAUUGAACAAGCUAUAGUUUAAUUUCCUCCCAAUCUAUGAUAUGAAAGCAUCUUUUAUUUCAUAAAUAAAGAUGAUUUGAAUCAUGAAACAUCUUUUAUUUAUAGUUAUUAGUCCACGAGC